rnacentral:rRNA from 1 species
CAGUGGCGGGGGAUAGCUCGGCGAAAGCCGGAUUAAUACCGCAUACGCCCUGAGGGGGAAAGUGGGGGAUCUUCGGACCUCACACCAUUGGAGCGGCCGAUGUCGGAUUAGCUAGUUGGUGGGGUAAAGGCUCACCAAGGCGACGAUCCGUAGCUGGUCUGAGAGGAUGAUCAGCCACACUGGGACUGAGACACGGCCCAGACUCCUACGGGAGGCAGCAGUGGGGAAUUUUGGACAAUGGGCGCAAGCCUGAUCCAGCCAUGCCGCGUGAGUGAAGAAGGCCUUCGGGUUGUAAAGCUCUUUCAGUCGGGAAGAAAAGGCGUCCUCUAACAUAGGGCGUCGAUGACGGUACCGACAGAAGAAGCACCGGCUAACUACGUGCCAGCAGCCGCGGUAAUACGUAGGGUGCGAGCGUUAAUCGGAAUUACUGGGCGUAAAGCGUGCGCAGGCGGUUCGCUAAGACAGGUGUGAAAUCCCCGGGCUUAACCUGGGAACUGCGCUUGUGACUGGCGGGCUAGAGUACGGCAGAGGGGGGUGGAAUUCCACGUGUAGCAGUGAAAUGCGUAGAUAUGUGGAGGAACA